UACGGAGGGUGCAAGCGUUAAUCGGAAUUACUGGGCGUAAGCGCACGCAGGUGGCUGAGUCAGUCGAUUGUGAAGCCUGGCUUAACCUGGGAAUUGCAGUCGAUACUACUCAGCUAGAGUAUGGGAGAGGGUAGUGGAAUUCCGGUGUAGCGGUGAAAUGCGUAGAUAUCGGGAGGAACAUCAGUGGCGAAGGCGGCUAA
rnacentral:rRNA from 1 species